rnacentral:hammerhead_ribozyme from 1 species
UAAUAUCAGAAGAGUCCCACAACAGGACGAAAUGGCCGUCCAAUGC